AUUGAACGCUGGCGGCAUGCCUUACACAUGCAAGUCGAACGGCAGCACGGGAGCAAUCCUGGUGGCGAGUGGCGAACGGGUGAGUAAUAUAUCGGAACGUGCCCAGUCGUGGGGAUAACGUAGCGAAAGCUACGCUAAUACCGCAUACGAUCUAUGGAUGAAAGCGGGGGAUCGCAAGACCUCGCGCGAUUGGAGCGGCCGAUAUCAGAUUAGGUAGUUGGUGAGGUAAAGGCUCGCCAAGCCGACGAUCUGUAGCUGGUCUGAGAGGACGACCAGCCACACUGGGACUGAGACACGGCCCAGACUCCUACGGGAGGCAGCAGUGGGGAAUUUUGGACAAUGGGCGCAAGCCUGAUCCAGCAAUGCCGCGUG
rnacentral:rRNA from 1 species